rfam:Columba livia unplaced genomic scaffold scaffold370, whole genome shotgun sequence.
CUGCGGCCUGGUUCAAGUAAUCCAGGAUAGGCUGUAUCCAUCCGAGCUGGCCUAUUCUUGGUUACUUGCACUAGGAGGCAA